rnacentral:rRNA from 1 species
AUUGAACGCUGGCGGCAUGCCUUACACAUGCAAGUCGAACGGCAGCACGGGAGCAAUCCUGGUGGCGAGUGGCGAACGGGUGAGUAAUAUAUCGGAACGUGCCCAGUCGUGGGGGAUAACGCAGCGAAAGCUGUGCUAAUACCGCAUACGAUCUACGGAUGAAAGCGGGGGAUCGCAAGACCUCGCGCGAUUGGAGCGGCCGAUAUCAGAUUAGGUAGUUGGUGAGGUAAAGGCUCACCAAGCCGACGAUCUGUAGCUGGUCUGAGAGGACGACCAGCCACACUGGAACUGAGACACGGUCCAGACUCCUACGGGAGGCAGCAGUGGGGAAUUUUGGACAAUGGGCGCAAGCCUGAUCCAGCAAUGCCGCGUGCAGGAUGAAGGCCUUCGGGUUGUAAACUGCUUUUGUACGGAACGAAAAGGCUCUGGUUAAUACCUGGGGCACAUGACGGUACCGUAAGAAUAAGCACCGGCUAACUACGUGCCAGCCGCCGCGGUAAGAC